CCGGGCGGUGGCGCGGCGGAGGGCGUCCCCGGCCGGGCCGGGGCGCCGUGGUCCGGGCCCGCCUGCCCGGC
rnacentral:tRNA from 1 species